AGCGUUGUCCGGAAUUAUUGGGCGUAAAGCGCGCGCAGGCGGUCCUUUAAGUCUGAUGUGAAAGCCCACGGCUCAACCGUGGAGGGUCAUUGGAAACUGGGGGACUUGAGUGCAGGAGAGAAGAGUGGAAUUCCAAGUGUAGCGGUGAAAUGCGUAGAGAUGUGGAGGAACACCAGUGGCGAAGGCGACUCUUUGGCCUGUAACUGACGCUGAGGCGCGAAAGCGUGGGGAGCAAACAGG
rnacentral:rRNA from 1 species